rnacentral:misc_RNA from 1 species
AAAGCCUGCAAGAAUGCAAGAGCCAAAGUUAAGAAGAGGUGAAAUAUGCAAUUCCGUGACAAUUGUCUGGGCCAGCUCUCUUACAAUGCAUUGCCAAAGAUGGCUAGUAAAAUUAAGGCAAAACCACUAUUGAUCAAAAAACCAAGAUUUGAGAAUGAUUAUAUCAACAAGAUUUGACCUUGAGAAGUUAAAAGUUGCACAUGUUAGAACUUCCGAGCAUAUGGCUUCACUAUUCAAAAGAAACUGCACCUAGAUUAUAUAAAUGAUAUUCAAUUUGUCAUGGCAUGACUAGUGACUACCAAAUUAAAAGUCAUUCUCCAGAAAUUUAAUAUCUUCCUUCUCCAACAUUUGAAGGUACAAUUCUAACAUCCAGCCAUAACCAUAGGAAAAAUAUUGAGAUGAUUAAUUUACUAAAUAUUUAACAACCCCAACUUUGAUGAGUCAUGGGCAUUAAAA